rnacentral:rRNA from 1 species
UACGUAGGGUGCAAGCGUUGUCCGGAAUUAUUGGGCGUAAAGAGCUCGUAGGCGGUUUGUCGCGUCGAAUGUGAAAACCCGGGGCUCAACCCCGGGCCUGCAUUCGAUACGGGCAGACUAGAGUUCGGUAGGGGAGUCUGGAAUUCCUGGUGUAGCGGUGAAAUGCGCAGAUAUCAGGAGGAACACCAGUGGCGAAGGCGGCGAUCUGGGUCGAUACUGACGCUGAGGUGCGAAAGCGUGGGGAGCAAACAGG